rnacentral:rRNA from 1 species
CCCAAAAGUUCGAAUGGAGAGAUUCAUCGUCAGCGAUCCUGGCACUUGUGCGGUUCGUGAUGCCGGGGAUUUCGAUCCCGCGACACGCGUCUGUACGAUUUAAUUGCCGGGUGUCGUCGUCGUGCACUUCUCCCCUAGUAGGACGUCGCGACCCGUUGGGUGUCGGUCUACGACUCGGGUGGGAGCCUGUCAUGUGUUACGCUUCACGGCGUCAUGUGGCAGACCCCCGGUUGUCUGACCAGCUGCCCGGCGGUACUCGCACGGUAUCGAGUCGCAAUUAUUUGAACUGCGUCCGGCCCGCCGCAAGCGAGGCCAGUGUUUCCCGGAUGUACGGACUUAGCGCCGUCACCGGGCCUGGCCAGCUGUUGGCUGGCGGUGUCCUGGGACUGGCUCUAUGUAUACCGGUCGGCGACGCUACUGCUUUGGGUACUUUCAGGACCCGUCUUGAAACACGGACCAAGGAGUCUAACAUGUGCGCGAGUCAUUGGGAUCUGUUAAGCCUAAAGGCGCAAUGAAAGUGAAGGUAGGCCUUGCGCCAACCGAGGGAGGAUGGGCCGCGUUACGAUGCGGCCCCGCACUCCCGGGGCGUCUCGUUCUCAUUGCGAGAAGAGGCGCACCCAGAGCGUACACGUUGGGACCCGAAAGAUGGU